UCCUCUUUUAUGGUGCCUCCUUACCCCUGCUGUGCACAACAUGAGUCUGAAAUGAAGUCAGAUGAGAAGAAACAAGCAAUCUUAGUCUCCUCUGAAUUCUUGAAGAAAAGCUAAAGUAAUUUACAAAUGCUGGUCUAAAGAUGAAAAUUCUAGAAACAUCUUGAAUACCUUUUGUAUUACUAAGCAAAGCAAUUUGGGAUCAAGAAAUAGGAAGAUGAACCCCAGCAAUCUAGAAGACUGAGAAUCCAAAAUGUUGUCAUAAGUACAGUGACUUUGGGACUUCCAGAAAGAUGGUGGUGUGGUGAGCAGCAGAAAAGAGCCUCUCCAAGAUUUGGAGUCCAGACACUGGAAUAUAGCAAAAUGAGGAAGAUAAGAAGGAAGGAAGUGGGUCCCCAAGACCCAGGAAAUAUCUGAAGUUAGAACUGAUGCCCAUAAGGAGAGUGAAGAGAGAAACUGCAAUGAAGAAGGAGGAGGGCGAGGGAGGCAAAGCUUUCUCCUUGAGCCCAGACUCACUGCAUAAGAGGGACUGAUUGACUCUGACCCCAGAGCCCUCCAGAGAAGCACACCAGUAGAAUGAAGUGGGGGACUUCAGGAGUCUGCAGUGGCUGGUGAUGAAUUGUUCGUGUUGUGACUUCUAAGCAAGCAAUUGGUUGGGAGCCGUCUUGGAGAGAGGCCAACUGAGCUUUGGACUGGGAAUGGCUACGGCUCUUCCUAGUGGCUCCCAGAAUAGUUCAAGACCACGGGGGUGCAGGGACUAUUGAGGCCAUCCUGAACUUUAGUGGAAAUAGGGUAGCAAGCUCACUGGGAUUAUCCACUACUCCACUGAGAAGCUGCUGCUGGCUUGCUGGGAUUGGUUGACAUGGAUCUGGACUCUGUCUGCCUACAUUGUCUACUAGUGGCAGCAGUGAAGUGAACUUUUGCCUUUUUUCCCCUUUAUUUUAUUUCUCUCUUUUUUUGUUU